rnacentral:misc_RNA from 1 species
AAGUCGUAACAAGGUUUCCGUAGGUGAACCUGCGGAAGGAUCAUUAUUGAAUAAAUCUGACAUGGUUGUAGCUGGCUCUUCGGAGUAUGUGCUCGCCUGUCACCUUUAUCUUUCCACCUGUGCACACACUGUAGUCCUGGAUACCUCUCGCCGCAAGGCGGAUGCAGAGUUUGCCUUUCGGCUCUCUCUGAAUUUCCAGGUCUAUGAUUAUUACAUACCCCAAUUGAAAGUUUCAGAAUGUUAUCAAAGGGCCUCGUGCCUAUAAACCUAUACAACUUUCAGCAACGGAUCUCUUGGCUCUC